rnacentral:rRNA from 1 species
AUUGAACGCUGGCGGCAGGCUUAACACAUGCAAGUCGAGCGGGGUGAUGGUGCUUGCACUAUCACUUAGCGGCGGACGGGUGAGUAAUGCUUAGGAAUCUGCCUAUUAGUGGGGGACAACAUCUCGAAAGGGAUGCUAAUACCGCAUACGUCCUACGGGAGAAAGCAGGGGAUCACUUGUGACCUUGCGCUAAUAGAUGAGCCUAAGUCGGAUUAGCUAGUUGGUGGGGUAAAGGCCUACCAAGGCGAAGAUCUGUAGCGGGUCUGAGAGGAUUAUCCGCCACACUGGGACUGGGACACGGCCCAGACUGCUACGGGAGGCAGCAGUGGGGAGUAUUGGACGAUGAGGGGAACCCUGAUCCAGCCAUGCCGCGUGUGUGAAGAAGGCCUUAUGGUUGUAAAGCACUUUAAGCGAGGAGGAGGCUCUUUUGGUUAAUACCCAAGAUGAGUGGACGUUACUCGCAGAAUAAGCACCGGCUAACUCUGUGCCAGCCGCCGCGGUAAGAC